CCCAGACUCCUACGGGAGGCAGCAGUGAGGAAUAUUGGUCAAUGGACGCAAGUCUGAACCAGCCAAGUAGCGUGCAGGAUGACGGCCCUCCGGGUUGUAAACUGCUUUUAGUUGGGAAUAAAAGGGGGCUCGUGAGCCCCGUAUUGUAUGUACCAUCAGAAAAAGGACCGGCUAAUUCCGUGCCAGCAGCCGCGGUAAUACGGAAGGUCCGGGCGUUAUCCGGAUUUAUUGGGUUUAAAGGGAGCGUAGGCCGGUCUUUAAGCGUGCCGUGAAAUUUUGUGGCUCAACCAUGAGAGUGCGGCGCGAACUGGAGACCUUGAGUGCGCGGAAGGCAGGCGGAAUUCGUGGUGUAGCGGUGAAAUGCUUAGAUAUCACGAAGAACUCCGAUUGCGAAGGCAGCCUACUAAACUGCCACUGACAUUGAUGCUCGAAAGUGUGGGUAUCAAACAGGAUUAGAUACCCUCGUA
rnacentral:rRNA from 1 species